CCAGACUCCUACGGGAGGCAGCAGUGAGGAAUAUUGGUCAAUGGCCGAGAGGCUGAACCAGCCAAGUCGCGUGAGGGAUGACGGCCCUACGGGUUGUAAACCUCUUUUGUCGGGGAGCAAAGAGAGUCACGUGUGACUCAUUGAGAGUACCCGAAGAAAAAGCAUCGGCUAACUCCGUGCCAGCAGCCGCGGUAAUACGGAGGAUGCGAGCGUUAUCCGGAUUUAUUGGGUUUAAAGGGUGCGCAGGCGGAGGUGCAAGUCAGCGGUCAAAUUGCGGGGCUCAACCCCGUACUGCCGUUGAAACUGCAUCCCUUGAGUGCGCGGAACGUAUGCGGAAUUCGUGGUGUAGCGGUGAAAUGCUUAGAUAUCACGAAGAACUCCGAUUGCGAAGGCAGCAUACGGCAGCGCUACUGACGCUGAAGCUCGAAGGCGCGGGUAUCGAACAGGAUUAGAUACCCGGGUA
rnacentral:rRNA from 1 species